rnacentral:rRNA from 1 species
ACGCGUGAGUAACCUGCCUUUCAGAGGGGGAUAACGUUCUGAAAAGAACGCUAAUACCGCAUGAGACUACAGAGCUGCAUGGCUCAGUGGUCAAAGGAGCAAUCCGCUGAAAGAUGGACUCGCGUCCGAUUAGAUAGUAGGCGGGGUAACGGCCCACCAAGGCGACGAUGCAUAGCCGGCCUGAGAGGGCGGACGGCCACAUUGGGACUGAGACACGGCCCAAACUCCUACGGGAGGCAGCAUG